UCUUGAUGAUUUUGUGGGACGUGGGAUGCAUGAUACAUGAUACAUCAACACAACAGUGACCCCAGGAGGACAGCUAUAGGAUUACACAGCACCCUGCAUAUCCAAGGCAGGGCAACAGAUCAAAAUAUGUCUCACCGACAGGGGCAUUUUGGAUAAUGGUGGAUCUUCACCACUUAAUACAAAACUAUGAGUGAGUCUUGACAACCAGAGCAUAGAUACCAGUUCACCAAAAAUAGUUGAUAUGAAAGCAUACCAUUUUGGUUUGUGUAAGCAGUAAUGGAAGUGGUAGCAGUGGUGUGAAGGUCUCCUACCUUGAAAAGCAUGACUGAGCCUAAGAACAUGUUGAGGAAGGACACCAGCAGAAGAAUGGACAGACCAGACAUCAGAGAGCCUGCAAGAAGGAAGAGCAGUGUUGGUGUUUGGAGUUGUUGGUAAAACCAGUGAAGGAACUGGGCUGCAUCACAGCAUUAUGGGUGUACACUGCGUCAUUAAGAAUCAUAAGGCCAGGAGAAGGAACCAUUUAUAGUGCAUCUAUAAAAUGUAGAUACUGUAUGCUUUAAUCUCUGUCCAGACAAAGGCAUUUUGCACUUUUUCCACUUGGUGGUUUUAA